AAUCAAGAUCAUCUUGAAAGAGCAUGGCUGUGGCUUAAUGGAUGGUGGAGAAACUUAGACAGAGGAGGAGACAAGGAAGUAAAUCAAUGAUCAGAUUCAGUUAUUUUUGAUUAACUGACAAGAAUGACUCUGACUUUCUGGAAAUUACAAAUGGCUUCGAACUCGACAUUCCUGCCUCAGCAACAGAGGAUAAAAAUCGUGAUGUGAUGGAUAUAGCACACAAGUGAGAAAUAUAAAUAUGGACUACAGGCUUCUAAAGAAUAAUUGAGCUUGCUGAGGAUCUGUGCCAGAUAUUGGAAAUGUCUAAGAUGUCAAGAGGUGAGUUCUUUGGUGUUUAUUGUUGUUGAGGUGACUUGUGUGUGUAUGUGUGUUUUGGAAAGAAUAGAGUAUAAUGAGAAGAUCAUCACAAUCUGUGUAAUAUGAAAAGCUGAGGCUACUGUUAUAAAUUAAGCUUUUUUUCAGAAAUGUUGUGUUAUCAAAACAGGAAUGAAAUUCUGAACAAUACACCUAAUAAGAUUAUCUUCUCAGUAGUUCCUGCUCAAUGGUAAUGAUACCAACUAGUACCCAUGAAUACAUGGGAUUGAUCCCUGGCCAUAGUCAGUGGGUUAGGGAUUCAGCAUUUCCAUGAGCUAUGGUGUAGGUCACAGACAUAGCUGAGACCUGGGGUUGCAGUGGUAUGGUGUAGGCCAGCAGCUGCAGUUCUGAUUCAACUCCUAGCCUGGGAACUUCUAUAUACCACAGGUGUAGCCCUAAAAAGAAAAAAAGAUCAUCUUCCAGGUUGAAAAAAGUAGUCUUUUGUAACAGGAAAUCAGUGAAAGAGGGGGUGAGAGUAAAGGCACUGUCAUUUAUUGAGCUUUACUAAUCAAUACUAAGAACUUUACAUGUGUUAUCCCUUUUAAUUCUCAUAACCAUCCUGUGAUAUACAUACAACAAUCAUCUCAAUUUUACACAUAGAAAACAAUCUUGACCAGGUUACUUUACUUGCCCAAAGUCAUAUAGCUACUAAGUUCAGUGUUGUGUUUUAGAUCUAGGUUUCUUUGACUUCUAACACUGAAUUUAGAGAGGACUAAAUACCUAAGAUAAAACAAUACUUAUACCAUUUAAUUCUUUGCUCAUGAAGAAUUGUACCUACACUUCAUUUUAGCUCUCCAAGGAAAGUUUUCAGAAAAUGCUUCAACAUCCCCAAUAUAUGCAACUGAAGAAAAAUUAGCAUUACAUAAAGAAGCCACCAUUCUCAAUAAUGAAACAGCUGUGGUUGUGAAUCUUUUUCCUUUUUUCUUCUGCAUUUUGCAUAUGUUAUGUGAAAAGAAAUGAAAUUUUCCAAAGCAGGUAUAUCCUUUGUAUGUGUAGAAAUGAAACCUUCCAUUUUGAGAUCUGUUAAUUUAUUUAGCUAAAGUAUAAAUGCACUUUGUUAUGGCUGAUUCUAGGUUCAUGUCACAUAAUUUGCACACCUGAUCAGUCUAAUGAAUUUAACUCUUUUAUUUUUACAAUUUAGAAAUGUUUAAGGGAGUUCCCGUCAUGGCGCAGUGGUUAACGAAUCCGACUAGGAACCAUGAGGUUGCGGGUUCGAUCCCUGCCCUUGCUCAGUGGGUUAACAAUCCAGCAUUGCCGUGAACUGUGGUGUAGGUUGCAGACGCAGCUCGGAUCCCGCGUUGCUGUAGCUCUGGCGUAGGCCGGUGGCUACAGCUCCGAUUGGACCCCUAGCCUGGGAACCUCCAUAUGCCGCGGGAGAGGCCCAAGAAAUAGCUAAAAAGACAAAAAAAAAAUAAAUAAAGAAAUGUUUAAGUAGCUUCAAAGAAAGGUGGAAAUAAUAGUUUUUAAGUUAUAGCUUUUAGGACUUCUUCCAUGUGGUAUUCAUUAACUUUAAUUAUAUCUUUCAGAAUCAUUAAGUAUGCUAGAAUUUUAGGCAGCUAUAAUAUAGGGGCAAGAUCUUUGAUUUGAAGCCAGAGAAUCUGAGUUAAAUUCUCAGUUCUGCCUAUUUGUCACCAUGUAAAUUUGAGUAAUCCAUCUAAUCUCUCUUAGCCUCAAUUUUCUCAUCUAUAAUAUGGGGAUAAUAAUCCUUACCUCAUAUAGUUUUUGUGAAAAUAAUUUGAGAUAACAAAUGUAAACAUAUUUUGUAGACAAUAAAAUUCUAUUGCAACAUCAGGGGGAAUGUAAUUAAAUAAACAUUAAAGAACACUUACCACUGUGCCAGUAAGUAACUUUUUUCACUUUGUUGCUCCCAGAAAGACCAAGACCUACAUAUCCUGGAGAAAGAGUAGCAUGCCUCCAGUUGGAUUAUCUUUCCUGGCUCCUAUUUAUUGCUCCUGGAUCCAUGCAGGAGUUGCCAAUUUACUUGCAGGAAGGUUAAAAAAUGUAUGGAAGAAUUACCUCCUAGGUUACUUUCUUCAUGAAAAGUGAUCUUUCUUCAAGGAGAAUCCUGCACAACAAUGCAUAUCAAUAUCUUGAUUCAGGCCAAUAAAAGGAAAUUUGGGGAUGGAAGUAAUUUCAUAACAAAAUUCCAAAGGACCAUUGUGAUGAGGCACUGGGCUGGAAGAAAUAGGACCAGGUUUCAAAUUCUGGAUCCAGUACUGACUAAUAGUAUAAUUGAAAGCAAGUCCCUUUUCCCUUGUGGGCCAAAGUCCCCCUUUAUACAAUGAUGUGGAAUGGAACAGAUUAGCUCUAAAGAUCAUCUUAUACCUCAAAGGGAAAAGAAAAAUUACGCAAAUUGUUUCUGCAUUGUGUUAUAAUAAACAUUUCCCUACAUUAGUAAAUUUAUUGGGAUAUAAUUAAUGUGCACCUUUAUAUUUUUAAAAUGUUUAAGAUCUAUAAUCUCAUUUGAAUUUCAACAUAAUGAUGGGAUUUCAUCAUUUAUCUUCACAUAAUAAAUUAAGAAACUGAGACUCAAAGGUUUGCACAAAGUCACAUAGCUAUUACACAAUAGAAAUCCAAAUCUGGUCUGUCUCUAAAACUAAAGUUUUUUCUACAACACAAAGCCACCUAAAUGAUUUUUUCUAGGCUUUGAAUAAGUAGAAUGGAUCUAGAAAAUGAAUUUAAAGAAAUAAUUACUGUUUUUCAUGUAAAAUAAAAGUAAAGAAUUAAGACAAUUUUUAAUUAGUCAUAUUUGGUACUGAAACUGCUAACCACAUUCCAGCAAUUGCAUAUACAAUAUAAUGUAUCUUUCAGAGAUUUAUGGAUUUUAGAAGAUUAAAGAUUAGUAUUUGUAACAUACUUUAAGAUCAAUAGAAUAAAAUGGCUAUUUAAAUAUAAUAUUUAGAGCUCUUGCCAUCCAAAAUUCAACUGAAAGGGAAAUAAAUGAUGGUAUGUAAGAAACUAUCCAUUUAUCCAGGGAGAAUCUAUCACAUUUACUGUCCUAGUGAAACAGCUAUACUCACUACUUUUACUUUCCAGUUCUCCUUCCAUUCCACCACCUACACAAAUAAAUAUAAUUCAGGCUUUAAGGAGUUUAAAGUGAGUUAUCUCUGUCAAUGAGUAGAGUGGCUGCUUGUUAUUGGUGUUAUAGCAACAACAUAAGCCACCAAUGGAGAGUUUAUAUUGUGGUGGAGGAAAAGUAUUUUUUAUAUGACCCAAGAGCAAGUCUGGGAGUUGAGGCUUAUAUGCCAUCCAAAGAUAAGGAAUGAGAUAGGGACCUGGUGCUUCAAAGGGGAGGAAUGUAAUUCAUAGGACAGUAAGAAGAGCAGAUUAGAUAUUUUACCCCAUAAACAGAUAGAUCAGUCAGAUAAAAGUUACCUCUUGUAAUAGCUCUAUCUCUGAGCCAGCCCUCUAUCUAAAUUAUUUUAGGCAAUUAAGACAAAUGUAGCUUUUUCUUAAGUCAGCUUGGUCUUGAUUGCCUUUAGCUCAAAAUAAUCCACAUGUCAAAAUGGCAUUAUUUGAGGUCAUAUAUUCUGCUCUUUUUCAAUAUCUACAAUCAUUAAUACUAAUGAUUUCAGAAAAAUGUGCAGUUUCGGGGGGGGGCAAUAAAUUAGAGAGAUCCCAUUUAUGUGAUGAGUAAAUUGUCUGUAAAUGUGGAAGCAAUUAAUUUUCUAAUUAGCAUGCUAAAGUUUUAAUCAGAUCCAGCAAAAAACUUUUAGGAAUAUUAGAUUAAAAGACUCUGGAAGAUGAGCCUAUAUGCAUUAUGAAGAAGCCCAUUCUUCCAAAACCAUGCAUUCCAACCCUUUUUAGUGCAUUGAAAACUAGGUUUCCAAUAUCUACUAUGAACUCAACUUUGUUGGGGAAGCAACAGAGGUUCAAGAUACAGGCACUUCUUUCCUGGGGGUUAUAGCUUGAUGGGGGACAUGGAAAAAUACUUCACAUCCGUUAUCUUGUUGAUAAGCAAAAGUAGUUUGUGAGGCAGGUUUUCCUCAUUAUACAGAUAGGAAGACUCAGAUUAAGAGAACUUUCUCAAAAUCACACAGCUACUAUGUGGCAAGGUCAGGAUUCAAGCCCAUUGAUUGCAAAAUCUAUACAUUUCUUUGCACUACACACAGAAUGAGAUAUAUGAAGAACAAAUAACACCAUAGUAGCAAAAUAUAUAGAACAUAAUUUAAGUACAAUAGGAAUUUAUAAAAGGAUGAUAUGAAUUCAAGUUGGAGAUUAGUCCAUUUUCCUCAUAAAAAUUAUAUACCAGAUUGUCUAAUUAGAGAAAAUGGGGGAAUGAACAACCCUCUUUCUGGAUCUGUUUUUUCAUUUGUAGAACAGGGAUGACACAGUCCACCACACAGUACCAUUGCUAUGAUUGAAUAAGAUAGCACUUGUAAGAGAACUUAGCAAAUUGCAAAUCAUUACAAUGUAAAGUAUUAUUAUUAUUUGUUAAAGCAUGAAAGUGUAAAUCAUGUGAUGUGUGUAUACAGAUGAUAGUGAGGAUACUAUUUUAAGGAUGGAUAACUCUCCCACUACCAACUCAGAGUACUGUAAAAUCUUAGGGUAAGGACCAGCCUCAAAGGUCAUCUGAUCUAACACCUUUGUUUGUAAAAAAGAAAUCUGGCAAAGAAAAAAUUUGGUAUCCUUGAAAGGAACUUAUCUGUAUCUUCAUAUACUCAUUUCUCUCCCAAUUUCUGUUAAUUUUAAAAAUAGUUUUGCAGAUCUUUUCAUCAGACUCAUAUGUUGACUUGAAUUCACCUUUUCUUUUAAAUAAUUUAAUAAUGUUGAUUGAAGUAAAAGUGUUGUGUUUAUUUCAAUGGAGACGAUUCCUUAUUUUUCUAAUUACCAUCUUCCAAAAAUGUGGAAACUGCAAGAUAGGAAGGCAGUCUGUUUAGUUCUACUCAUUGUUUCUGAAUCAUGCUCUGAAAAGCAGAAUCCAGGGUCUUUUAAUGCCUAAAUAAAAACCCAGAUUUCUUGAUGAAGAGUUUCUAGCCCAAAGCACAGAAAAGGGAGAGAAGAACCUACAGCUUUAUCAUUCAGCUCACUUAAUCUGGAUGUGAAUCUCUACCUGGAUGCUAAUUAAUCUCAGGGAAGACCCUUCCAAUAAUUUAAAUCAGGUUGGGCUUUAUAGUAGGUAAUUAUUUCAAGGCACCCUUUAGUAUAUAUGGGUUAAUUACUAAUGUAAUGUUAGUCAAUUUUUUUUGUAACUCUAAACAAAACUUUCAAGGAUACAACAUUAUAAAUGUAGUCAACCAAAUCAUUAAUUAUCUUCAGAUGGGGAAAACAAGUGACAUUCAUUUUCUUGUUUGUAUGCUUUUUUCUAUUCCUAUUUUUCUAUAGCAAGCAUAUAUUAUUUGUAUAUUUUUAAUGAUUUAUUGAGGUUCACCUAAAUAAAUUCACAUAACAUAAUAGAAACCAUUUUAAAGUUGGGCAAUUCAUUGACUUUUAGUAUUCUCACAAUAUUUCAUGACCAUUUCUACCUAGUUGAAAAAUACCCCUUUAAGGUGUUUUACCUAUUAAUCAGUUUCUCCAAUUCCCUUCUACCCUUAGCCCCUGGAAGCUACCAAUCUGUGCUCUGUACCUAUGUAUUUAUACUGAAUAUUCCCUAUAUAAUAUGAGUGUUUCACUUACAUAGGAUAAUACACUGUAUCUGGCUUCUUUCA
rnacentral:lncRNA from 1 species